rnacentral:lncRNA from 1 species
UCAUCACACUUGUAGCAAAAAAACGCCGGACCUCCUUUAUUAUGUCUGUUCCCACAAUAUCCCAGCAUUAUUGGUAGAACCUUGCUGUGAAGCCAUUAGGGCCUGGCCUUUUAUCUGCUCCAAUCGAACAUACCGCUGCAUAAUUUCCUCCUCCGAAAAUUCUCUUGUUAAGCCUUCAUUAAUAUCAUCAGUGACAGUCGAUUGAAACCCGUGAAAGAUGCCUUCAGAGACUGAAUUUUCAUUGCUAGAAUAUAUUUUCUUGAAAAAGCUUUCAGCAUGUGUACCAAUCUCUUUAUCACCUCUGAAUACCCGACCAAACUCAUCUUGUAUGGAAUGGAUUAUGUUCCUUGCAUAACGUGCUUUUGCACAGGCAUGGUAAAAUUUGGUGUUGCGAUCUCUAACCUGAAGCCAUGUAUUUCUGCUUUUUAACUUCCAAUAAGUUUCCUCUUCCCUGUAUGCAGAAGCUAAUUCUCUCUGAAUAUGCGGAAUAACAGAACGAGCAGAACCUGAACUUUUAAGAGCCGACUCCAGCUCUUUUUGGAGAGAUUCAAUCUUCU